UACGGAGGGUGCAAGCGUUAUCCGGAUUCACUGGGUUUAAAGGGUGCGUAGGUGGGUUGAUAAGUCAGUGGUGAAAUCCCCGAGCUUAACUUGGGAACUGCCAUUGAUACUAUUGAUCUUGAAUACCGUGGAGGUCAGCGGAAUAUGUCAUGUAGCGGUGAAAUGCUUAGAUAUGACAUAGAACACCAAUUGCGAAGGCAGCUCGUUACACGAAUAUUGACUCUGAGGCUCGAAAGCGUGGGGAUCAAACAGG
rnacentral:rRNA from 1 species